rnacentral:rRNA from 1 species
ACCUCAAAUCAGGAAAGGAUACCCCCUGAAUUUAAGCAUAUAACUAAGGGGAGGAAAAGAAACUAACGAGGAUUCCCCCAGUAACGGCGAGUGAAGCGGGAAGAGCCCAGGUUGAAAAUUUAGGCGUUUUAGUGUCUAAAAUUGUAGUCUAGAGACGGUGUUUCCAGUUGUUGGUAUGUGCUUUAGGUUCCUUGGAAGAGGACGCCAUAGAGGGUGAGAGUCCCGUUUAGGCACGUGUUGGCAGCGUCCGGGUAUUGUUCUACGAGUCGAGUUGCUUGGGACUGCAGCUCCAAGUUGGUGGUAAAUUCCAUCAAAGGCUAAAUAGUGGCGAGAGACCGAUAGCGAACAAGUAGCGUGAGCGAAAGAUGACAAGAACUUUGAAAAGAGAGUGAAAGAGUACCUGAAAUCGUUGAAAGGGAAGGGUUUGCGUCCAGUGUUGGUUUUGCGUGUGGUUGUCCGUUGUUGCGAAAGAGCGGAUUGCCGUGCGUGGGACAGUCUCUGCCCGGCGUGGCGUUGUGGGGAGAGUGAUGGGGAGUGGUGUGCUCUUGUGGUACGCGCCCCUGUAUUACCCCCUCGAUCCGCGUUUUCAAAUCCAUGCCAUUUUCAGUAUCCACGGAUAGCUCGAAUGACAUAGAGGGCCAGAGGAAAUGUACGUUGACCGCCCGUCUGGAAACACGGACCAAGGAGUCUA